rnacentral:misc_RNA from 1 species
GUGAAUCAUCAAAUUUUUGAACGCACAUUGCACUCUUUUCGAUUCGUAUGCCUGUUCGUGUGUCAGCCUCUUUAAAAUCGACAUCGUUGCUGUUUCGCGGUGGCGUUCGUCGGAAAUUGGGUCAUGUUAAAUCUUUUGGUUUUAAGCGACUUACAAUUUUCUUUUUGGUUCCAUUACCGUUUCUAAGAUUUAUUUCUUUACACGUUUAAGGUAUCGAAUUUUAUUAGACGUGACCAUCAUAUCGGAUCGCGCCCAUAAUCUUUCAUUAACUGUACUCAGACAGGUAGG